CUCCUGAUGUAACCAUGGAAGUAUUAAAGAUUAAGUCUGAAAGAUUUUCUGGUGAGGAGGAUGCUUUGUUGGAUAUCAAAAUGGAGAAAAGUGAAGAAGAAACUUUUACCUUAUCUAAUAGAGAAGCUGAUUUCUUAAAAGAAAGAUCUUCACAAACAGUUUGUAAGUUUGGUGUCAAAAAAAGAAGAAUGGGAAGAGAAUUAUGAUAAAGUACCAGUGAAAACUGAGAACACAUUUGUCAGAAUACAGUCAGAUGAACCUGAUGACACACAACAAGAUGAUAUUAUUUCUGAGUUGAGCAAGAAUUAUGAUGAUAAUGACUCAAAAGAUGAUGUGUUGAGUGGGAAGAAAGAAAAGAAAUUUCAAGAUGACUUUCAAGAAAUUGGCUCUGGGUUGGAAAGUUUACCUGGUAAAUACAAACAU